rnacentral:misc_RNA from 3 species
GAUCGGGUGUCGUGUAUCGUGCGUUGCGGUUGCGGUUGCGGAUGCAGGUGCAGACCGUGGACCGUGGAGCAGCCGGCGCAAGUCACUGCCUGCGGCCAAGCCGCGCUGAAAGGCGCUGCCUGCGGCAUUUCGGAGCCCGGCGGUCGGUGGAGAAAGCAACCGAGCGCCGGAGUGCCGCGCGCAUGCGCUUUCACCGUCCCGAUGGCGCUACCGGCGCACGCGCAAUGUGCGCGCCGCCACCAUUGCCUCGCGCGCGACACAAACGACUGGCGGCGCUCGGCACAUUCUUCAUAUAAUUGCCGCUUCAUGUCGACAGGAUCGGCGGGAUGCGCACGCGCCGAUUCGGCGCCGCACCGUUCGACGCGGGUUCGAUCGUCGCCGCUC